rnacentral:rRNA from 1 species
CGUGAGCAAUCUGCCCAUAUCUGGGGGAUAACAGUUGGAAACGACUGAUAAUACCGCAUAACAUGGUUUGAAGGCAUCUUCUUUCCAUCAAAGAUUUAUCGGAUAUGGAUGAGCUCGCGUCUGAUUAGCUUGUUGGUGAGGUAACGGCUCACCAAGGCGACGAUCAGUAGCCGACCUGAGAGGGUGAUCGGCCACAUUGGAACUGAGACACGGUCCAAACUCCUACGGGAGGCAGCAG